GAUACUUACCCUACUGAAGUAUCCGCCUGAGAACUACGAGCACAAACGCUUAAAACUCUAAGGACUUGGCGGUGCCCCAAACCCACCUAGAGGAGCCUGUUCUAUAAUCGAUAACCCACGAUACACCCGACCACUCCUUGCCGAAGCAGCCUACAUACCGCCGUCGCCAGCUCACCUUUCUGAAAGCACAGCAGUGAGCACAAUAGCAACCAACAUCGCUAACAAGACAGGUCAAGGUAUAGCCUAUGGGGUGGAAGAAAUGGGCUACAUUUUCUAAAAUAGAAAACCCCCACGGAAAGGGGCAUGAAACUGCCCCUAGAAGGCGGAUUUAGCAGUAAAGCGGGAUAAUAAAUGCCCCCUUUAAGUUGGCCCUGGAG
rnacentral:rRNA from 1 species